AUACCCUGAGGAUAUUACAUUUUUGCAUCUGAGCUCCUAGAGUGUGCGGCUCUCCUUUAUCUUCAGAGUGAUGCACAGCCAUCAGCGUUUGGACUCACAUUUCACAAAUUUGCCCAGGUGGAGGCGGGGACUGAUUUCCCCCAUCUGACGUUCUUCCUGCUCACCCACAACAUUUGGCCUCCAGGGGGCACCAACCUGUCUAAACUGGCCAUCAGGGACUUCGUAUCUGAGAUAGCACCCUUUCAGAGUGGGGGAGAUGGUGGUGAAAGGCUUCGAGACCUUCACCAUCGACUCACUUCCAGCUGGGUCUCAUUAUGUUUUGACGUAUACUGCCCUCAUCAAUGGUCACGAGUGAAAUUCUGGACCUGUCAGCCCUCCUAAUGUUCUCCAAUGCCUCACUGAAUGGCGUCAGUAUGUUUGGUCCAGUGGUGGCUAAUUUAACACUAAGGGUGAAAUCCAUGGACAAGCCUAUCGGAUUUCCUGUUAUCUACCCAUUGACGGAUUUCCCCCAGACUACGUUACUAGACUUUUCCCUGCCUGUACGGUUGUCCUUUUGGACCAGUGUGUAUGACCUAACUGCCCCUGGACCCAGCUACCUGCCUCCUCCUGUGGUCCUUUGUAAUAAACACCUGCUGCGCCCUGCGCUUGAAACCAG